rnacentral:rRNA from 1 species
UACGUAGGGGGCAAGCGUUGUCCGGAUUCAUUGGGCGUAAAGAGCGUGUAGGCGGCCAGGUAGGUCGGUUGUGAAAACUGGAGGCUCAACCUUCAGAGGUCGACCGAAACCAUCUGGCUAGAGUCCGGGAGAGGAGAGUGGAAUUCCUGGUGUAGCGGUGAAAUGCGCAGAUAUCAGGAAGAACACCCGUGGCGAAAGCGCUCUGCUGGACCUUAACUGACACUGAGGGGCGAAAGCUAGGGGAGCGAAUGGG